rnacentral:rRNA from 1 species
UACGGAGGGGGCCAGCGUUGUUCGGAAUUAUUGGGCGUAAAGGGCGCGUAGGCGGUCGAGUAAGUCUGAUGUGAAAUCCCUUGGCUCAACCAAGGAACUGCGUCUUAAACUGCUCGGCUGGAGUCCGGGAGAGGGUAGUGGAAUUCCCAGUGUAGCGGUGAAAUGCGUAGAUAUUGGGAGGAACACCGGUGGCGAGGGCGGCUACCUGGACCGGUACUGACGCUGAGGCGCGAAAGCUAGGGUAGCAAACAGG